GCUCAGAUUGAACGCUGGCGGCAGGCCUAACACAUGCAAGUCGAGCGGCAGCGGGAAGUAGUUUACUACUUCGCCGGCGAGCGGCGGACGGGUGAGUAAUGUCUGGGGAUCUGCCUGAUGGAGGGGGAUAACUACUGGAAACGGUAGCUAAUACCGCAUGACCUCGCAAGAGCAAAGUGGGGGACCUUCGGGCCUCACGCCAUCGGAUGAACCCAGAUGGGAUUAGCUAGUAGGUGGGGUAAUGGCUCACCUAGGCGACGAUCCCUAGCUGGUCUGAGAGGAUGACCAGCCACACUGGAACUGAGACACGGUCCAGACUCCUACGGGAGGCAGCAGUGGGGAAUAUUGCACAAUGGGCGCAAGCCUGAUGCAGCCAUGCCGCGUGUGUGAAGAAGGCCUUCGGGUUGUAAAGCACUUUCAGCGAGGAGGAAGGCAGUCGUGUUAAUAGCACGAUUGAUUGACGUUACUCGCAGAAGAAGCACCGGCUAACUCCGUGCCA
rnacentral:rRNA from 1 species